rnacentral:rRNA from 1 species
ACGGAAGGCAGCAGUGAGGAAUAUUGGUCAAUGGAGGCAACUCUGAACCAGCCAAGUCGCGUGAAGGAAGAAGGCCCUACGGGUCGUAAACUUCUUUUGCAGGGGGAUAAAGUCGGCCACGCGUGGCCGUUUGCAGGUACCCUGUGAAUAAGCAUCGGCUAACUCCGUGCCAGCAGCCGCGGUAAUACGGAGGAUGCGAGCGUUAUCCGGAUUUAUUGGGUUUAAAGGGUGCGUAGGCGGGAUGUUAAGUCAGCGGUGAAAGCGUGUAGCUCAACUAUACCAAGCCGUUGAAACUGGCGUUCUUGAGUGUAAACGAGGUAGGCGGAAUGUGACGUGUAGCGGUGAAAUGCUUAGAUAUGUCACAGAACCCCGAUUGCGAAGGCAGCUUACCAGCAUACAACUGACGCUGAGGCACGAAAGUGCGGGGAUCAAACAGGAUUAGAUACCCUGGUA